UACGUAGGGCGCAAGCGUUAUCCGGAAUUAUUGGGCGUAAAGAGCUCGUAGGCGGUUUGUCGCGUCUGCCGUGAAAGUCCGGGGCUCAACUCCGGAUCUGCGGUGGGUACGGGCAGACUAGAGUGAUGUAGGGGAGACUGGAAUUCCUGGUGUAGCGGUGAAAUGCGCAGAUAUCAGGAGGAACACCGAUGGCGAAGGCAGGUCUCUGGGCCACUACUGACGCUGAGAAGCGAAAGCAUGGGGGAGCGAACAGG
rnacentral:rRNA from 1 species